rnacentral:rRNA from 1 species
CCUACGGGAGGCUGCAGUGAGGAAUAUUGGUCAAUGGGCGCGAGCCUGAACCAGCCAAGUCGCGUGAGGGAAGACGGUCCUAUGGAUUGUAAACCUCUUUUGUCGGGGAGCAAAAGACGCCACGCGUGGCGUUCCGAGAGUACCCGAAGAACAAGCAUCGGCUAACUCCGUGCCAGCAGCCGCGGUAAUCCGGAGGAUGCGAGCGUUAUCCGGAUUUAUGGGGUGUAAAGGGUGCGCAGGCGGAAGAUCAAGGCAGCUGUCCACUGGUCAGGCUCAUCCUCUUCGAGCCGUUGAAACUGGUGUUCUUGUGUGCGCGAGAACUAGUCGGAAUGCGUGGUGUAGCGGUGAAAUGCAUAGAUAUCACGCAGAACUCCGAUUGCGAAGGCAGCAUACCGGCGCUCAACUGACGCUCAUGCACGAACGUGUGGGUAUCGAACAGGAUUAGAUACCCCUGUAGUC